AACCGGAGGGGCCCCGGCCUCUGGGACGGAGCGGCGCCCCCGGGAACUCGCUGGAAACGCGAGUUCUCGGCCUUCGCCCAGACCCUCCGAAUCGAAACUCCUGCGGCGCGCGCUGCCAGCCCGAGGGCCCCGCCGUCCAGGGGUCCCCUGACAUCUCACACUUGCGGACUGAAGCUGCGAGGAGCGGAGAACCCGGCCAGGGUCACGGACGGGAGCGUCCGGACUCGGGUUCUCUGGGCCCCAGCCCCCACUCCGCCCCCAGCGAAUCCAAGGUCCCCUGUAGGGAAGGGCCGUCCACACUCGUGAGUGCAACCGCUCACUUCGCCCAGGUCAAGGACGCGGCAUUGGCCCGAGUCGCCCAUGACCUUCAUUUCUGAAGCCACAGCCUCUCGGGCCUUACUCGAGGGGCUUGAUCUGGACAAUCGCCCUCCAGGCCCCUCCACCGCCGCCCAGCUCCCUGCCUCCUGGGCUCCUCCCCUGAAAAUACGGUUUUCCCUGAUCAGCCCAUCCCUUACUGGCUGCAUCCACUGAAGCCCAGACCUGCUGCCUGCAGGACCUCACCCAGGCACCAGGUCGUGCCUGGCGCCUCCUUGAUGCCAGGCCCUGGGGAGACCUGUGGCCACAGAACCCAUGUUCUCCCUGGAGAUGGACAGGAGGCCCCUCUCCUACGCAGAAGCUGUCGUUUUUUCUUCUUAAACACCGUUUGCCCCUCCCUCCACCCACCGAGCCAUCUCUGCCCCUCUCUACAGCAAAGCUUCCGCCAAGCCGGCCCUGCUCCCUGUCUACCUCUCCUGCCACCACCCACUCACACGUUUUAAAUACAAGCCGUCGGUUCUCA
rnacentral:lncRNA from 10 species